UACGAAGGGUGCAAGCGUUACUCGGAAUUACUGGGCGUAAAGCGUGCGUAGGUGGUGAGUUAAGUCUGUCGUGAAAGCCCCCGGGCUCAACCUGGGAAUGGCGAUGGAUACUGGCUCGCUAGAGUGCGGUAGAGGAGAGUGGAAUUCCCCGGUGUAGCAGUGAAAUGCGUAGAUAUCAGGAGGAACACCGGUGGCGAAGGCGGCUCUCUGGACCGCAACUGACGCUGAGGCGCGAAAGCUAGGGGAGCAAACAGG
rnacentral:rRNA from 1 species